GCGAGGAUGGCGGAGAGGUCAAACGCGCUAGCCUAAGGAGCUAGUCACUUAGUGUGUACGUGGGUUCGAAUCCUACUCCUCGCA
rnacentral:tRNA from 1 species